AGGCUGAUGGGUUUAGUCCAUGCGUGUGGUUUGGCUAAUGAACGUCGGCUUUCACCUGACUGCUCGUCUUUAGCUAAUGAUGUUUCCUUUUUCCUCCAGUUUUGUGAAGCACGUUUGAGGUGUGUGGUGAUGACCACGUGACUGAUUGAGGAAGUGGUUCUCAGGUUUGGCGUGCGAUUCAAAUCCUUCUCAUGUUGUGGAUUUAUCGCGCUUUUCUUGGCAAUAUAUUCGAGCAUCUUUUUUGUGUGAUGAAACCAGCGGAGAUUUUCCCCUCUCUGGGGAGAUUUUGAACUGAUCUCUCCUGAUAAGGCGAAGUGUCUGUUGUGUUCUAAAGAACUUGGAUUCAAAAAUCCAGGGGAGAAGAAUGACGUGGAUCUUCCCCAUUUUCUCUGAAAGCUAUGGUGGAGGACACACAUAUCCAAAGAGAAAGCCAAACUCAUUGUGUCGAAGGCAUCUGCAGUUAGUUCAUCAGAUAUGUGGACCCCUAUCAACACUAUGCGUACCUAGCUGUGACAUGUCAUUUUAUACACGCAAGCAGCUCUUUGCAUUCUGUUUUCCCUGCAGCACAUGCUGCUGAAAAUUUAGCAAAAACAAAAUCAGCACUUGUGUCAGAAGGGGGCAUUACACACACUUUUAAUUGCCUUGUGACUGAUGUGCGUGGCACAAAUUGUGUGGCGCAAACUUUAAAUUGACACAUUAAAAAAUGUUCCUGACCUUAUAAUUGUGUUGUUUGACAUCUGGGCAAACUGUAGGAAGACAGUGGGCUAUUUCAAGAGCCCACUGUAAAGUGAUGCUUCCACUGGAAACAUCACUUUACAUAUUUUAU